GACGAACGCUGGCGGCGUGCUUAACACAUGCAAGUCGAACGGAAAGGCCCUGCUUUUGUGGGGUGCUUGAGUGGCGAACGGGUGAGUAACACGUGAGUAACCUGCCCUUGACUUUGGGAUAACUUCAGGAAACUGGGGCUAAUACCGGAUAGGAGCUCCUGCUGCAUGGUGGGGGUUGGAAAGUUUCGGCGGUUGGGGAUGGACUCGCGGCUUAUCAGCUUGUUGGUGGGGUAGUGGCUUACCAAGGCUUUGACGGGUAGCCGGCCUGAGAGGGUGACCGGCCACAUGGGGAUGGAGAAGCGGCCCAGACUCCAAGGGGGGGCAGAGGGGGGAAAUAUUGAAAAAGGGGGGGAAGCCUGAUGCAGCAACCCGGGGGGGGGGAGGAGGGCUUUGGGGUGGAAACCCGUUUUCCCCUGGGACGAAGGGGGGGGGGGGGUAAGGGGAAAAGAAGCACCGGCUAACUACGG
rnacentral:rRNA from 1 species